rnacentral:rRNA from 1 species
UACGUAGGGUGCAAGCGUUGUCCGGAAUUAUUGGGCGUAAAGAGCGUGUAGGCGGCCAGGUAGGUCUGGUGUGAAAACUCGAGGCUUAACCUCGAGAUGUCAUCGGAAACCAUCUGGCUAGAGUCCGGAAGAGGAGAGUGGAAUUCCUGGUGUAGCGGUGAAAUGCGCAGAUAUCAGGAAGAACACCUAUGGCGAAGGCGGCUCUCUGGGACGGUACUGACGCUGAGACACGAAAGCGUGGGGAGCGAACAGG